rnacentral:tRNA from 1 species
GGUCUUAUAUUCAACAAUGAUUUUAAAUUGCAAAUUUAAAGGCGGGAUUUUUCCUAAGGCUU